CCCGCACAAGCGGAGGAACAUGUGGUUAAUUCGAUGAUACGCGAGGAACCUUACCUGGGCUUAAAUGUAGAGUGCAUUUUCUAGAGAUAGGAAUUCCCUUCGGGGCUUUCUACAAGGUGCUGCAUGGUUGUCGUCAGCUCGUGCCGUGAGGUGUCGGGUUAAGUCCCAUAACGAGCGCAACCCUUAUCGUUAGUUGCCAUCUGGUAAAGCAGGGGACUCUAGCGAAACUGCCACCGUAAGGUGAGAGGAAGGUGGGGAUGACGUCAAAUCAGCACGGCCCUUAUGUCCAGGGCUACACACGUGUUACAAUGGUCGGUACAGAGGGCAGCUACCUGGUGACAGGAUGCUAAUCUCGAAAACCGGCCUCAGUUCGGAUCGAAGUCUGCAACUCGACUUCGUGAAGCUGGAUUCGCUAGUAAUCGCGCAUCAGCCAUGGCGCGGUGAAUACGUUCCCGGGCCUU
rnacentral:rRNA from 1 species